AGUGAACGCUGGCGGUAGGCCUAACACAUGCAAGUCGAACGGCAGCACAGUAAGAGCUUGCUCUUACGGGUGGCGAGUGGCGGACGGGUGAGGAAUACAUCGGAAUCUACUUUUUCGUGGGGGAUAACGUAGGGAAACUUACGCUAAUACCGCAUACGACCUACGGGUGAGAGCAGGGGAUCUUCGGACCUUGCGCGAUUGAAUGAGCCGAUGUCGGAUUAGCUAGUUGGCGGGGUAAAGGCCCACCAAGGCGACGAUCCGUAGCUGGUCUGAGAGGAUGAUCAGCCACACUGGAACUGAGACACGGUCCAGACUCCUACGGGAGGCAGCAGUGGGGAAUAUUGGACAAUGGGCGCAAGCCUGAUCCAGCCAUACCGCGUGGGUGAAGAAGGCCUUCGGGUUGUAAAGCCCUUUUGUUGGGAAAGAAAAGCAGCAGGUUAAUACCCCGCUGUUAUGACGGUACCCAAAGAAUAAGCACCGGCUAACUUCGUG
rnacentral:rRNA from 1 species